rnacentral:rRNA from 1 species
GACGAACGCUGGCAGCGUGCUUAACACAUGCAAGUCGAACGGAAAGGCCUGCUUUCCCUUGUGGAUUGCGGGUACUCGAGUGGCGAACGGGUGAGUAACACGUGAGUGAUCUGCCCCCAACUUGGGUAUAAGCCUGGGAAACUGGGUCUAAUUCCCGAUAGGCCUGCAGGGUGGUGCCUGUGGUGGAAAACGAUUUUCUAGUGGUUGGGGGUGAGCUCGCGGCCUAUCAGCUUGUUGGUGGGGUAAUGGCCUACCAAGGCGGCGACGGGUAGCCGGCCUGGGAGGGUGGACGGCCACAUUGGGACUGAGAUACGGCCCAGACUCCUACGGGAGGCAGCAGUGGGGAAUAUUGCACAAUGGGCGGAAGCCUGAUGCAGCGACGCCGCGGGGGGGAUGACGGCCUUCGGGUUGUAAACUCCUUUCGACCGCGAGGAAGCCACCUGGUUGGAAGGGUGGUGACGGUAGUGGUAGAAGAAGCACCGGCUAACUACGUG